UGCGCUGUAGAGCAGCUAUGGUAGCUCGUCAGGCUCAUGCCCUGAAGGUCGUAGGUUCGAGUCCUACUGGCGCUA
rnacentral:tRNA from 1 species